rnacentral:rRNA from 1 species
GAUGAACGCUAGCGGCAGGCCUAACACAUGCAAGUCGAGGGGUAGAACACUUCGGUGUUUGAGACCGGCGCACGGGUGCGUAACGCGUAUGCAAUCUACCUUGUACAGGGGAAUAGCCCAGAGAAAUUUGGAUUAAUGCCCCAUAGUAUAUAACCUUCGCAUGUUGGUUAUAUUAAAGUUCCAACGGUACAAGAUGAGCAUGCGUCCCAUUAGUUAGUUGGUAAGGUAACGGCUUACCAAGACGAUGAUGGGUAGGGGUCCUGAGAGGGAGAUCCCCCACACUGGUACUGAGACACGGCCCAGACUCCUACGGGAGGCAGCAGUGAGGAAUAUUAGUCAAUGGGCGCAAGCCUGAACCAGCCAUGCCGCGUGCAGGAAGACGGUCCUAUGGAUUGUAAACUGCUUUUAUACAGGAAGAAACCCUCCCACGUGUGGGAGAUUGACGGUACUGUAGGAAUAAGGAUCGGCUAACUCCGUGCCAGCCGCCGCCGUAAUAC